rnacentral:misc_RNA from 1 species
AGCCAUGGAGAUACACCGGGAAAGAAGUGAACAUGGAGAGAGAGGACAUAUAGCUGCUUCUGAAGAAAUGGUGGGAUAUAUAUACGAGGAUUGAGUCGUUGGACUACAACAGUGUUGUGCCUGAUUAUAACGGAAAACUUGGAUCCUAAUUGCUGCAUUUACUGAGGAAGAAGUGGUCCACUAGAUGAGUGCUCUAUCUGGAGCUUGAAAAAAUAAAUAAAUAUUUAGAUUAUUCGAUAAGGGGUGAUAUUAAUUAUGGAUAUGUCAACUUUAUAUAUAUAUAUCUGGACAAGUAUUGGCUUUAUUAGUUUUGG